AUAGAGGAUGCAAACUGGCAUCUCAACAAAUUUGAACGUGCUGGGAAGACACAUGCAAAGGCUUCAAAAUUGGAGGUUUCAAGGAGUGCAAAUGGUUCAGAGCAGAGUGUUGCUGCAUCACCAAAUGAAGAGAUGAUGGAAAUCUCUAGGGACUGUUCUUCUACAGAAACAAAUCUGUUUCACAUGGUCUCAUUCCAACAAGAAAAUUUUGUUCAGACCAACUCCACCGGAGAAGAAAUAUGAUACUAUCCUUUGAAGAAGAGAAUGGAGAAACCCAAUCUGGACGAAUUGUAGCACGAUGUUACCAGUCGUGCAGUCAAAUUCAUCGACUACGGCAUGAUGGGUGAUGGUUCCAAGUCUGAAAACAAAAAAGAAUUCAACACAAGUUGUUUAGGGAAUUUCGCGAAGAAUUUGGUCAGGAAGAGCCUGGGCGAAGGUGUAAUGUUCCCUCCAAAUCAACUACUUCCUGUUUUUAUUGUAGGUUAAAGCUUAGUCAUUGCUUUUCGAGAUCUUUUUUAUUGGGUUAUUACUGUGACUUUUUUGAUUACAAUAUUAUGAGACAACAACUGUGGAAUUUGGAUGAGUAUGAUCUUCUAUACAAGAAAUACAAAUUGUGCAAUUUGGAUAA